AAGGUGGCAACAGCUUAAUUGGAAUUAGGGCAUCUUUAAUUAAGGCAGUUGGUCCUCUUCUUAGGUGUUGCCAAGAAUUGGAGAUGGAUGAGGCACCUGAUGUGGGCCAGUGUAACUGCUCCCAGUGGCACAGGAGGCUGGAGGCUGCAGCAGGCCCCCGUGCAGAGGAAACCCAGGGGAUCCACAUCCAUGUGAUAAAUGUCAGUAACCUGCUCAUAUCCGUGUUGUGGAAGGCUCUGCAGACAUCACUGAUAUGAAGACAUAGUGGAUCUUAGUAAAAUCUACAUAUAUGGCUCCACGGACAUGAAAUACACAAGAUUCCAG
rnacentral:lncRNA from 1 species